rnacentral:rRNA from 1 species
CAAUAGCGUAUAUUAAAGUUGUUGCAGUUAGAACGCUCGUAGUCGGAUUUCGGGGCGGGCCGACCGGUCUGCCGAUGGGUACGCACUGGUCGGCGCGUCCUUCCUUCCGGAGACCGUUCCUACUCUUAACUGAGCGGGGGCGGGAGACGGAACGUUUACUUUGAAAAAAUCAGAGUGUUUCAAGCAGGCAGUGCGCUCUUGCAUGGAUUAGCAUGGGAUAAUGAAAUAGGACUUUGGUGCUAUUUUGUUGGUUUCGAACACCGAAGUAAUGAUUAAAAGGGACAGUCAGGGGCACUCGUAUUCCGCCGAGAGAGGUGAAAUUCUCAGACCAGCGGAAGACGAACCACUGCGAAAGCAUUUGCCAGGGAUGUUUUCACUGA